rnacentral:misc_RNA from 1 species
GAUGAAGAACGCAGCGAAAUGCGAUAAGUAAUGUGAAUUGCAGAAUUCAGUGAAUCAUCGAAUCUUUGAACGCACAUUGCGCCCGCCAGUAUUCUGGCGGGCAUGCCUGUUCGAGCGUCAUUUCAACCCUCAAGCCCCCGGGCUUGGUGUUGGGGAUCGGCGUGCCCUCGCGGCGCGCCGUCCCCUAAAUCUAGUGGCGGUCUCGCUGUAGCUUCCUCUGCGUAGUAGCAACACUCGCACUGGAUCGCAGGGCGGCCACGCCGUUAAACCCCCCACUUCUGAAAGUUUGACCUCGGAUCAGGUAGGAAUACCCGCUGAACUUAAGCAUAUCAAUAAGCGGAGGA